UACGUAGGGUGCAAGCGUUGUCCGGAAUUAUUGGGCGUAAAGAGCUCGUAGGCGGUCUGUCGCGUCGGCUGUGAAAACCCGCGGCUCAACCUCGGGCCUGCAGUCGAUACGGGCAGACUAGAGUGCGGUAGGGGAGACUGGAAUUCCUGGUGUAGCGGUGAAAUGCGCAGAUAUCAGGAGGAACACCGGUGGCGAAGGCGGGUCUCUGGGCCGUAACUGACGCUGGAGGAGCGAAAGCGUGGGGAGCGAACAGG
rnacentral:rRNA from 1 species